UAAAUAAAUAAAUAAAUAAAUAAAUAAAUAAAUAAAUAAGGAAAGGGUUUUACUGGAAAAUAAGGCUGUAUGAAAAUACUCUUCAUAGCCAGUGUAUAACGGGUGAUGCUAAAAACGAAGCGAAGCCUUGGUCACGUUGUUUUAAAGCGAUUCAAGGUGAUUCGGAUGAGCCCAUUACACGUCGAGUAUGGCGUUCGUCUCAACCUAUUCAAUGGAAUCGUUAGGAGGAAAGGUAACCGGCGAGCCGGUUUACCUGCGACUGUUUACUCAUAGCCGGCGUCGUUGCGAUGUUUGUUCCCUCUUAACCCAGAGUCCCCCGAAUUUUUGAACGUCGGACGUGCAGCGAAACUUAAGCUUCAGCCUGCUUCGCACUUGACAAUUAUCUCACGAAUUAUCUGACCUUAUUUUUCAACUUUAUUGUAAGACGAACGCGCGUUUCGUUAGUCGAGCUGAAAAAUUCACGCAGUUCGCGCGAAUAAAGCAACUUGGUUGAACGACAGAGCUGAACAAAUUAACUGGAUACGGCCUUUAGUCGAGUUAAAUUCUUGUUUCUCUGUAUUGGUCAUUUUGUAAAUAGAAACUUGUACGAGGUGAAUCAAGUUUAAGAUAAGAUGAUGGGAAUGUGAAAUUUACGACUGUAGCUGGAAAAUCAAACUCCCAGCACGGACAAAAAACUUACGUUGGAUUAAGUGCUUUCACCUUUAAAUAAAUAAAAACAAUGAAAAUAAAAAUUUGUUUGGGGCAGAUCAAACUUAAGGUUCAGACACAAAAUUCACGAAACUGAUGUUCCAGAUAAGAUCAUGGGAAUGUGAAACUCACGACUGUAGCUGGAAAAUCAAACUCCCAGCACGAAUAAAAAACUUACGUUGGGUUAAGUGAUUUCGUCUUUAAAUAAAAGCAAUGAAAAUAAAAAUUUGUUUAGAACGAAUCGAGCUUAAGAUUCAAACACAAGAAUCACGAAAAUAAUGGAAAAAUUGAAAUUGUUACUAUAGCACUGACAAAGAACUUAAAAAAUCCAACUUUGAGUUAAAUUCUUGCUUUCGUGCUAGUCAGCCUGUAAAUAGAAAUUUCUACGAGACGAACCGAGCUUAAGGUGGCACGAAAUUUGUGUCGUAGAUAAUACGAACGUAAAAUUCGGUCGAAAUCGUCGACAAAAGACGAAACGAUCGCUUUGAACAGUACGAAACAGACUUAAGGACACGGUUACGGACAGUUUGCGUUAGACGAAGCUUCAGGUAGGGUGGAUCAACCUCGUGUACACCUGCGUUUCCUGUCACCUGACGACCGGAAGUCCAUCGUCCCCCUACAACAGCCAAUUCACUCUCGUUUUUUGACCACAACGAAACACGAAUUUCCCAAUCUGUGUUUCGCGAAACGAUAAAUAUCAACGGCAAAUGUAAGAAAAUAUUAAAUAGACGAUAUUUCUCGACCAGUCGUACAUCGAAAUCACGUCGAUAGCAACACGUCACGCGAUCAAUUUCACUUUCUAAGAAACUUGACGUCACCUUCCACGAAGAUUCCUCACGUUCAGAUAGCAACGCGUCCCCUUUCCGUUUGUAAACUCGUUUCCGCGUAAUUCGCACUCUGUAAACGACGAAUCACUUGCAAACUUUCGACAUAGCUUCUAAUAAAACUAGUAAUUAAAUACUUAAUCGCGUGCAGACUAUGGAAACGAUACGCCUCCAUUUCGUUGUUCAAUUUUUACGUUUUGGCGGAUAGAACGAACUAUUCGAUUGGCAACUAAGUGACUGCGGAUUUUCUCACUACCAUCUAAUGACAAAAUCCGCAGUCACUUAGUUGCCAAGCCAGUGAUUGAAGAAUAAUCGGUCACAUUCGAACACACUUUAUUCUCAAAAUAAAUGGUAAAUCCAUAAAUGGUAAAUAUUUUCUACGAGACGAGUAUCUACUUUAGUUUUCACGUAGCUUAAUUUAACGAAAUCUCCGGCUGCUUAUCUAAUAUCGUUAACAUUUCUGAAAUAUUCAAGGAGGUGAUAAAGCAAAUGGAACGGCAAUAAUUAAUAAAGAAAAUAACCGUAGGAUAAUUUUCAUAUACGAUUGAUUAACGAUCCAGUGAAUUUCAAAAUUGCUCUCCAAAAAAAAAAAAAAAAAAAGAAAGAAAGAAA